GUUUUGGCCACUGGCUUACACACCCUUUAAAAAUUGGUGAGACGAAGGAGGGUUUGAGACCAAAAGCCCUUUCCUGUUGUUCACCUCCACAGCUUCAGCUUAUUCAGAGGUAGACUGCCUCUGCACCAGGAGGUUUCAUUUAACAGCCCCAGAAACCGUUCCCCUUUGACCUGGCCAACUACUGCCACAGGGUCUGUGCAGGUAACAGUUAUAAUUCCUUUAUCAUCGUUAAGAUAGGCUUACUGAAUAGAAGCAAAACAUUAAUGUGUACAUAUGGAUACCCCCAACUACCCUUUUUAUGUCUCCCCCGCCCGACCUUUUAGGCAGUCUAUGGGACUGAUGAUCUCCACCCCCAAAAGUUUUCCAGUUUGUCCCCCGUGACACAGCCCGUUCUUCCGUUCCGGACUGGACAUCUCCAACUCCACGGAUCUCCUGCCCUGUUCAAAGGGAAGUAUGGUGUGGGAGACAGGGGGGAAAGGAUCAGGGGCCCACAGCAGAGGCAGGUGGGGGAUGUUCUGCUGUUUGCCAGCCCUCCCUCCGACCUGAGGAACCGAUAUCUUAUCAGCCAGCCUGAGGACCACGACUGCUGAGGUUCAUGACUUCAUUGUGGGUGAGUAGGGCAGUUUGGUCUGUAUUCCUGAGACCUGGAUGGGUAAACAAGGUGGAGUUGGUCUGGCCCAGUUGUGCCCACCUGGGUACUCAGUGCAGGAUCAGGGCAGACUUGAGAGCCAGCAAGUGGGGGGUUGCUGUAGUCUAGAGAGAUUCUCUUUCUCUCUCCAGAUGAAUGGGGAUCUACAGUGUUUGUUCCUGGCACUGAGUAAUUAGUUGGGACAGAUUUGGGAUUCUGCUGGUUUACCACCCCCCUCACUUCCCAACAGCCUCCCUGCCUGAGUGGCAGAGCUGAUCUCGGUUGAGGGCUCCCAGCCGUGGGGCUGUCCCAACAUGUUGCUGGCCAGGUCACACUCUGGAGCUUAUCUUUUCAACUGGGCAUGAAGUGAGCAAUCUGAAACUGGGAGAUAUGGACCUCAGUCUGUUGUCCUGGUCAGAUCACUUCCUGUGGAAAUUAGGCUUUUUCAGCACCAUUUCCCCUCUGCAGAGGUGGGGCACCCAUGAGAAUGGUCCACCCUCAGAGGUCAACGGAUCCAAGUGGCUCUGGAGGAUUUUCCGGCUGAUAGGACUGGCAUUUCCGUUGAAGCCCUGGUCAAUACGGACAGCUCAGGCCCUUGACACGAUCCCUCGCCCUCUCCCACUUUCUGCAGCCCAUUUGGCUUUGUGGUAUCCUCUCAAGCUGUGCAGAUUACAGUUAUCAUAAUCAUAAUCAUCAGUAACUUAAGCUUAUGAAUACAACACAAAUGUUAGUGUGUACGUCGGGAUAAACUGCUGCUCGUGCUACUUUUUUGGUGUUCUCCUGGAACAGUUAGGCUGGACAUCCACCCCAAACAUUCUCUUCUGCAGAAUGUCAACACAGAGACAGCAGGAAUCAUAAUUCACAAGGAUCCAGAUGACCAAACUGAAAACAGUUUUUGGUGGAUUUGCAAUUGCCCCAAUUGUUUUAUCUUCAUUUUUACACUUGAACAUAGACCCAAAUUAAGAAGGGAACCUUCACAUCAGCAAGGAUCAAAUGAAACAUCAGAGAAAAAUGUUCAGAGC